ensembl:lncRNA
UUUGGGAUCCCAUGGACUGUAGCCCACCAGGCUCCUCUGUCCAUGGGAUUCUCCAGGCAAGAAUACUGGAGUGAAAAAAAAAAAAAAAAAAGAAUACUGGAGUGGGUUGCUAUUCCCUUCUCCAGGGGAUCUUCCCAACACAGGGAUCCAAUCUGCCUCUCUUAUAUCUCCUGCAUUGACAGGAGGGUUCUCUACCACUGUACCAUAAUUAGACGAUGGCUAAAACAAGGACAGUAAUGCUUGUUAGUUUCCAGUAGGAUUUCUGAACAGUCAGAGCCAAACAUUUUAACAAGAAUUCUUAAUGGCAUGUGAAUUUUAAAAUUGCAUAAUACUGUUGUCAAGAAUCAAAAGUUUAAUCUUUAUUAUGUAUCCAUGUGCCUCUGUGUGUGUACAAAUGUGAGUGUGUCUGUCUAUAGCUGUGUUAGGCAUGAUAUAGUUAGAGUAUGAGAUCUUCAUGAGUCAAGAAACAUACUUUUUUAGGUCAACCUAUUGAAUUCAAGGGUGGGAGGAAUUUUCAUAGUAUGAAUCAAAAAGCAACCAUAAAAAGGAAAAGGCUUAUGAAUAAUGGAGGAGAGAGAUUCAGGUCACACUAAGCCCAGAAGCCACACAUUUUUUCUGCCUCAGCUCCAGCUUCAUGAUGGUGUGGAGGUAAUGAGUCCGGACCCGGAUUGGAUUGAAUUCAAUGCGCCCAGCCAUGUUGCCACAGUCAUCCAGGGAGCAGCCACAUGGAAAGGACAUGCGAUCCACCUGGCAUUUAAUUCCAGCCUGGCUGCAGGCACAUGCUUCUGGGUCACAAUACAUGUGGUUCAAACUAAAAUAUACAACGAAGACCUGUGUAUAGCUGUCCUAGAAUAAGAACUAGAGCAUGACCAGUAUUCUGGAAGCUUCCUGUAUCCCUCCUCUUCUACCUCCAUCUCUCCUUGCCAGAGAAAAAUAUUGGCUUGUGUUUUUGUCAUAUUCUUGUUUUGUUUUAAUUUAUCAUGUAUGUAUGCCUCUUUAAACAAUAUAUUUUUAAAUUUUGUAUGUUUUUGGCCUUUAUGUAGAGUCAUGUUGUAUGUUUCAUAGUGCAAUUUGCUCACUAUUAGACUUGAGAUAUUUCUCCAUAUUUAUGCUAUUCAUUUUCACUAAAUUACAAUUUUUCUAUUGUCUUGACGAUUUAUCAGACCAGUCUCUCAUUUAAGUUGUUUUCUGAGUCCCUCCCGCCCCAAUUUUAAGGAUAAGGCUAUUAUCUUUUUGUGUGUGCAUGUAAGAUUUUCUUCAAAAAAUAUAUACACCUAGGAGUGGAAUUGUUGUGUUAUUGGUUAUACUAAUUUUCUUCAGAUAGUGGUAAAUGUUUCCAGUUACUGGGCCAAUUUUCAUUCCCAUCAGCAAUGUUUAAGAUUUCUGUUUCUCCAUACCAUGGCCAACACCAUUGUCAUUUAAUUUUUGCUAGUCUUAUGGGUAUAAAAUAGUAUUUUAAUGUUUUACUUGUAUUUUUCAGAUUACAACUGAGCACAUUUUCUUCAAUUUGGGGUACAAUUUCUUGUUUUCCUUCUCUGAAAUAGCUCCAUUAAAAAAUUUUGGAGGGCUGUUUUCUCAUUUAUCUAAAAAAAUUUCUUUAUAUUUUUUUGAAUCCCAGUUCUCUGUUAUGUGUGUUAUAAAUAUAUUCUCCCAUCUUGUAGCUUACCUCUACCUGAUUUUUAUGGUGUCUCCUUAUAAAUUUUGCUAAGAUAAAAUUG